UUAAAGUUAGUUUAUUAAAACAUUAGUUUGUGGCACUAAAAAUGCCUUUAAAGGUACUUUAAU
rnacentral:tRNA from 1 species